rnacentral:rRNA from 1 species
UACGGGGGGGGCAAGCGUUGUUCGGAAUUACUGGGCGUAAAGGGCUCGUAGGUGGCCAACUAAGUCGGACGUGAAAUCCCUCAGCUUAACUGGGGAACUGCGUCCGAUACUGGAUGGCUUGGAUUUGGGAGAGGGAUGCGGAAUUCCAGGUGUAGCGGUGAAAUGCGUAGAUAUCUGGAGGAACACCGGUGGCGAAGGCGGCAUCCUGGACCAAUAUUGACGCUGAGGAGCGAAAGCCAGGGGAGCAAACGGG